rnacentral:rRNA from 1 species
GACGAACGCUGGCGGCGUGCUUAACACAUGCAAGUCGAACGGUGAAGCGCCUUCCUUUUUGGUGGGUGUGGAUGAGUGGCGAACGGGUGAGUAACACGUGAGUAACCUGCCCCCUUCUUCUGGAUAACCGCAUGAAAGUGUGGCUAAUACGGGAUAUUCUGGGUCUGUCGCAUGAUGGGUCUGGGAAAGAUAUUGUUUCGGUGGGGGAUGGGCUCGCGGCCUAUCAGCUUGUUGGUGGGGUGAUGGCCUACCAAGGCGGUGACGGGUAGCCGGCCUGAGAGGGUGGACGGUCACACGGGGACUGAGACACGGCCCAGACUCCUACGGGAGGCAGCAGUGGGGAAUAUUGCACAAUGGGCGCAAGCCUGAUGCAGCGACGCCGCGUGAGGGAUGGAGGCCUUCGGGUUGUGAACCUCUUUCGCCAGUGAAGCAGGCCUGCCUCGUUUGUGGGUGGGUUGACGGUAGCUGGAUAACAAGCGCCGGCUAACUACGUG